AUUGAACGCUGGCGGCAUGCCUUACACAUGCAAGUCGAACGGCAGCACGGGAGCAAUCCUGGUGGCGAGUGGCGAACGGGUGAGUAAUAUAUCGGAACGUGCCCGGUCGUGGGGGAUAACGUAGCGAAAGCUACGCUAAUACCGCAUACGAUCUACGGAUGAAAGCGGGGGAUCGCAAGACCUCGCGCGAUUGGAGCGGCCGAUAUCAGAUUAGGUAGUUGGUGAGGUAAAGGCUCACCAAGCCGACGAUCUGUAGCUGGUCUGAGAGGACGACCAGCCACACUGGGACUGAGACACGGCCCAGACUCCUACGGGAGGCAGCAGUGGGAAUUUGGACAAUGGGCGCAAGCCUGAUCCAGCAAUGCCGCGUGCAGGAUGAAGGCC
rnacentral:rRNA from 1 species